rnacentral:lncRNA from 1 species
GGAACAAAGAGAGCAAUGAUCAAAGAAGGGGUCCUCAACACCACCUAGCUUGAUUCCUUUGGGAGAGAAAAAACUGUUUAUGUUUUCUCCUAAUUUUAAGCUGAUCAAUUCUUUCAACUUAUCAGUUUUAACUAGGAAAGUAACACAAGAUUCUAUCACCAUUUCUAAUAUUAAUACAUGCAGAAUUUACUGCAUGAGGAAGAAAAGUAACAUGGAAGAGCAGAAAUUCUGUCACAGGUGGAGAGGAGGCCUACAGGAGAGUUCAGGAGCUCCCCCUCAUCACUAGCACUGGAGGCUUCCUCUUCCCUCUGAUCACUCUGGGGAUCAGCAGUGACUGCAAAACGUGAACUCUUACCCCACCUAAGUACCAUGUUAAAUCAGUCAGAAUGCUACGGAUGAGUAGCUGUAUAGCCACUACAUCUGAAGGCACAACAAGGCUCAGG